UUCUGACCGUUGCAAGGUAGCGUAAUCACUUGUUCUUUAAAUGGGGACUCGUAUCAAUGGCAUCACGAGGGCCACACUGUCUCCUCUCUCUAAUCAGUAAAACUGAUCUCCCCGUGAAGAAGCGGGGAUAAAACUAUAAGACGAGAAGACCCCAUGGAGCUUAAAACUAAGCAGCAACUCAGUCACACAAUCCAAUAUAAUUCACAGAGCCAUGCACGUAAGUUUUAGGUUGGGGUGACCGCGGAGCAAAAACUAACCUCCACGACGAAAAGAACUAAAUCUUUACCCAAGAGCCACCACUCUAAGAAUUAGCACACUAACGAACAAUGACCCGAUAAUCGAUCAACGGACCAAGUUACCCUGGGGAUAACAGCGCAAUCUACUUCAAGAGCUCAUAUCGACAAGUAGGCUUACGACCUCGAUGUUGGAUCAGGAUAUCCCAGUGGUGCAGCCGCUACUAAUGGUUCGUUUGUUCAACGAUUAAAACCUUACGUGAUCUGAGUCAGAACCGGAGAAA
rnacentral:rRNA from 1 species